GAAAGUGGCGAACGGGUGAGUAACACGUGGAUAAUCUACCUUCCGGAUUGGGAUAACUACUCGAAAGGGUGGCUAAUACCGAAUAACAUGGCCGUUGCACAUGCAGUGGUCAUCAAAGGCGGGGACCGCAAGGCCUUCCACCGGGAGAUGAGUCCGCGGCCCAUUAGCUUGUUGGCGGGGUAACGGCCCACCAAUGCGACGAUGGGUAGCCGGCCUGAGAGGGUGUCCGGCCACAUUGGGACUGAGAUACGGCCCAGACUCCUACGGGAGGCAGCAGUUAAGAAUCUUGCGCAAUGGGCGAAAGCCUGACGCAGCGACGCCGCGUGGACGAUGAAGGCCUUCGGGUUGUAAAGUCCGAUAAGCAGGGAAGAAUUAGCAGCGGGUAAUAUUCGCUGUGAUGACGGUACCUGCCUAAAGCCCCGGCUAACUACGUGCCAGCAGCCGCGGUAAUACGUAUGGGGCAAGCGUUGUUCGGAAUUAUUGGGCGUAAAGGGCGUCUAGUGGGGGACUAAGUUAGUUGUGAAAUCCCUGGGCUCAACCCAGGAAUUGCUUCUAAAACUGGUUCUCUUGAGUUCGGGAGAGGAGAGCGGAAUUCCCGGUGUAGCGGUGAAAUGCGUAGAUAUCGGGAAGAACACCAGUGGCGAAGGCGGCUCUCUGGCCUAGAACUGACACUGAAGCGCGAAAGCGUGGGGAGCGAACGGGAUUAGAUACCCCGGUAGUCCACGCUGUAAACGUUGUGUACUAGGUGUAAGUGACUUGUUCACUUGUGCCGACGCUAACGCAUUAAGUACACCGCCUGGGGAGUACGGCCGCAAGGCUUAAACUCAAAGAAAUUGACGGGGGCCCGCACAAGCGGUGGAGCAUGUGGUUCAAUUCGAUGAUACGCGAAAAACCUUACCUGGGCUUGAACUGUACCUGACAGGUGUAGAGAUACACUCUCCUUCGGGCAGGUAUGGAGGUGCUGCAUGGCUGUCGUCAGCUCGUGUCGUGAGAUGUUGGGUUAAGUCCCGCAACGAGCGCAACCCUUGCCCCUUGUUGCUAUCAGGUAACGCUGGGCACUC
rnacentral:rRNA from 1 species